GCAAGCUCACGCUUGAAUACAUUAGCAUGGAAUAAUGAAAUAGGACGUUCGAUCCUAUUUUGUUGGUUUCUAGGAUUGACGUAAUGAUUAAUAGGGAUAGUUGGGGGCAUUAGUAUUCAAUUGUCAGAGGUGAAAUUCUUGGAUUUAUUGAAGACUAACUACUGCGAAAGCAUUUGCCAAGGAUGUUUUCAUUAAUCAAGAACGAAAGUUAGGGGAUCGAAGACGAUCAGAUACCGUCGUAGUCUUAACCAUAAACUAUGCCGACUAGGGAUCGGAUGAUGUUAAUUUUUUAAUGACUCAUUCGGCGCCUUACGGGAAACCAAAGUGUUUGGGUUCCGGGGGGAGUAUGGUCGCAAGGCUGAAACUUAAAGGAAUUGACGGAAGGGCACCACCAGGGGUGGAGCCUGCG
rnacentral:rRNA from 1 species